rnacentral:rRNA from 1 species
GACGAACGCUGGCGGCGUGCUUAACACAUGCAAGUCGAACGGAAAGGCCCUGCUUUUGUGGGGUGCUCGAGUGGCGAACGGGUGAGUAACACGUGAGUAACCUGCCCUUGACUUUGGGAUAACUUCAGGAAACUGGGGCUCAUACCGGAUAGGAGCUCCUGCUGCAUGGUGGGGGUUGGAAAGUUUCGGCGGUUGGGGAUGGACUCGCUGCUUAUCAGCUUGUUGGUGGGGUAGUGGCUUACCAAGGGUUUGACGGGUAGCCGGCCUGAGAGGGUUACCGGGGACAAUGGGACGGAGAGACGGACCAGAAUGCAACGGGAGGGAGGAGGGGGGAAUAUGGGACAAUGGGCGGAAGGGUGAUGGAGAAACGGAGGGAGGGGGAAGACGGGCUUGGGGUUGUAAACAGCAUUAGCCUGAGACGAAGCGUGAGUGACGGUAAUGGGUAAAGAAGCACCGGCUAACUACGUG